UACGUAGGGUGCAAGCGUUGUCCGGAAUUAUUGGGCGUAAAGAGCUCGUAGGCGGUUUGUCGCGUCGAAUGUGAAAACCCGGGGCUCAACCCCGGGCCUGCAUUCGAUACGGGCAGACUAGAGUUCGGUAGGGGAGUCUGGAAUUCCUGGUGUAGCGGUGAAAUGCGCAGAUAUCAGGAGGAACACCGGUGGCGAAGGCGGGUCUCUGGGCCGUUACUGACGCUGAGGAGCGAAAGCGUGGGGAGCGAACAGG
rnacentral:rRNA from 1 species